CGGCGGUCCCGGCGGAUGACAAAUGGGCCCCAUCUGACACCCACACCAGCGGCGCUCUGGCAGCGGCAGGCACCCAAAACCCGAGGAGGCGAGACACAAACCUUGAGAACACCUCAAAAGGAGGAGAUUCUCCUCGCCCCUUCCAGCAGCGCAGCCGACGGGCGAGGCGGCGACGGUAGCCGCCGUCGCAGCCGCUGCCUUCGCCUCCUGCCGGUCCUCUCCCGCGCGGUCUCGCAGGACGCCGCGCCGCCACUGUGGUGUUCGGGGGCGGCUCGGAGGACCCGCGGCCCCCUCGGCUUAUCCGCCCCUCCGCCGCCGGCGCCAUCGAGGAUGGAGCUAAAUCACGAACUUCCUAGAGCUACUCUUAAUGCCAUAAAAAUUGAUCUCAUGACCAGUGCAGAUAUGGAAAAAUUGAGCAGCAUAAGCAUAGUAGAAGUAAGUGAUGUCACUAGUCCCAAGUUAGGACUACCAAAUGGUUCGCCGCAGUGUGAGACUUGUGGAUCUCAAAGUGAACGUGACUGUGAUGGGCAUUUUGGUGUGACUAAGCUGGCAGCAACUGUACACAACCCAUACUUUAUCGAUGAAGUUGUUCACUUUCUAAAUCAAAUAUGUCCUGGCUGCCUUAGUCCAAGGGAAAGCAUAGAUUUGAAGAGAUUGGGGAGUGAACCAGUUCAAACAGCAUGCAAGUAUUGCUCGAAGGAUGGCUCUAAACUUUACCCUAGCGUAAUCUUUAAGACGCUGUCAAGUCCAAGAGUAUUAUUAUCCAAGAGUAGACUUCACAGAAGCACAAGCGUGAUGGAAAGAAUUUCGAUUGUUGCAGAAGCUACUGACAGAGUGUCUAAUAAGUCAAAGGGUAAAGGUUUGCUUGAAGGCCUGCCCCAGGAUUAUUGGGAUUUUGUACCUUCUGAAAAUCAGCAACUGCAGUCUACUAUGACCAAGAUAAUAUUAUCACCCUACCAAGUCUUUCACAUGUUGAAGAAAAGUGACCCUGAACUUAUAAAACAAUUUGUUUCAAGGCGGGAGCUAUUGUUUCUAUCAUGUUUACCAGUGACUCCUAAUUGCCAUCGUGUUGUGGAGAUUGGAUAUGGUCUUUCAGAUGCGCGGCUAACUUUUGAUGACAGAACAAAGGCUUACAAGAGGAUGGUUGAUGUCAGUAGGAGAAUUGAUGACUACCGUCAGCAUCCACAGUUCAGUGUUCUCGCAAGUUCACUUGUCUCAAGCCGAGUUUCAGAAUGCCUGAAGUCAUCCAAGUUAUACUCUAGAAAGACAGAGGGGGAGACAACCACAGAUACGUACGGAAUGAAAUGGCUAAAGGAUGCUGUUCUCAGCAAAAGAUCAGAUAAUGCUUUUCGAAGUAUUAUGGUUGGAGACCCAAAAAUUAGGUUAUGGGAAAUUGGCAUUCCUGAAGGUUUAGCUUCAAAUUUGGUUGUUUCUGAGCCUGUUAGUACUUAUAAUUUAGAAAAUAUGAAUUUGAAGUGCAACCUGCACCUUCUAGCUAAGGAAGAACUGUUUAUUCGCCGAAAUGGGAAGCUAAUGUUUAUUCGGAAGGCAAAUCAGCUAGAAGUUGGCGACAUUGCCUAUAGACCAUUGCAAGAUGGUGAUCUUAUUCUCAUCAACAGGCCUCCUUCAGUUCAUCAACAUUCACUGAUUGCAUUGUCUACAAAAAUUCUUCCAAUUCAGUCUGUUGUAUCAAUCAAUCCACUAUGCUGUACACCUUUUUUGGGAGACUUUGAUGGGGAUUGUUUGCAUGGAUAUAUCCCACAAUCUAUACGAUCAAGAAUUGAGCUUGGAGAGCUGGUAAGCUUACACCAGCAGCUGUUGAAUAUGCAAGAUGGUCGGAGUUUGGUGUCACUAACACAUGACUCUCUUGCUGCUGCACAUUUGUUAACAAGUGCAGAUAUUUUUCUGAAGAAAUCUGAAUUACAGCAGCUUCAAAUGCUAUGCCUUUCAGUAUCAGACACACCAGUACCAGCAGUAGUUAAAUCUAUGGACUUUCAAAGUUCUCUGUGGACUGGUAAGCAAUUAUUCAGCAUGCUUCUUCCUUCAGGCAUGAAUUUCAUUUGCGAUAGGAAGUUGCACAUAAUAGACAGUGAAGUUCUUACCUGCUCUUCGGGGUCUUCUUGGUUACAAAAUAGCACAUCUGGUCUCUUUUCUAUCAUGUUCAAACAGUAUGGCCACAAGGCACUUGACUUCCUUUCUUCUGCCCAAGAAGUACUCUGUGAGUUCUUAACAAUGAGGGGUUUAAGUGUCUCUCUUUCAGAUCUGUAUAUGUUCUCAGAUCAUUACUCAAGGAGAAAACUGACUGAGGGAGUCAAACUGGCUUUGGAUGAAGCUGAAGAAGCUUUCCGAAUCAAGCAAAUAUUGCUGGAUCCAAUCAACAUACCUGUUCUAAAGUGUCAUGAUGAAACUGAAGAUGUAACUUACAGACAAUCUGAUUAUAUUCUGAACAAUCUAUCAGUUGUCAGAUCUUCAAUCAUGGCAUUUAAAGAUGUCUUCAGUGAUCUCCUAAAAAUGGUGCAACAACAUGUUAGCAAUGAUAACUCGAUGAUGGUGAUGAUUAAUGCGGGAAGCAAGGGUAGCAUGUUGAAAUAUGCGCAGCAAACUGCAUGUGUUGGUCUUCAACUUCCAGCAAGCAAAUUUCCCUUCAGAAUUCCUUCCGAACUCUCAUGUAUUAGCUGGAAUGAGCAGAAGUCAUUAAGUUGUGAAGCUGAGGGUAACAACGGACGUGUGGGAGGUCAAAACCUUUACGCUGUAAUCAGGCAUUCCUUCAUUGAGGGUUUAAAUCCAUUGGAGUGUCUUCUGCAUGCUAUAUCUGGUAGGGCAAACUUCUUCAGUGAGCAUGCUGAUGUGCCUGGGACACUAACGAGAAAGUUAAUGUAUCACUUGAGAGAUCUACAUGUUGCUUAUGAUGGAACUGUUAGAAGUUCUUACGGGCAGCACAUAACACAAUUCUCUUAUGACACUGCUGAUGAUAUGUAUUGUAAUCGUGAUCGGAUAGAUGAAAUUGGUGCCCCUGUUGGUUCUUGGGCCGCUAGUUCGGUUUCAGAAGCUGCAUAUGGAGCUUUGGAUCACCCAGUUAAUGGUUUAGAGGACUCCCCUCUAAUGAAUCUACAAGAAGUAUUUAAGUGUCACAAGGGUACAAAUUCUGGUGAUCAUGUUGGUUUGCUUUUCCUGUCAAAGCAUUUGAAGAAGUAUAGAUAUGGUCUGGAAUAUGCAUCCCUAGAAGUUAAAAACCAUCUCGAGCGAGUAAACUUCUCUGAUUUGGUUGAAAUCGUCAUGAUUAUAUAUGAUGGAUGUGACACAAGAAGAAAAGGAGGACCUUGGACCACCCAUUUUCAUAUAAGCAAGGAAAUGAUGAAGAAGAAAAGGUUAGGAUUGGGAUUUGUUGUAGAAGAGCUUACAAAAGAGUAUGACACAAUUAAAAACCAGCUAAACAAUGCAAUCCCAUCAGUUUGUAUUUCAAAGAGAAAAUGUUCAGUAGGUGAUGAGUGUGUUCAAAAUUCAACUUGCUGUAUCACAGUGGUAGCACAAGCUGAAUCCAACUCCAUGUCUCAGUUGGACAUUAUCAAGAAAAGAGUGAUUCCAAUCAUACUGGAUACACUACUGAAAGGUUUUUUGGAAUUUAAGGAUGUUGAGAUCCAGUGUCGGCAUGAUGGUGAACUUCUUGUGAAAGUUGGUAUGUCUGAGCAUUGCAAGGCUGGGAGGUUCUGGGCUACUCUACAAAAUGCUUGCAUUCCAGUAAUGGAGCUGAUUGACUGGGAGCAGAGUCGACCAAAGAAUGUAUACGAUAUUUUCUGUUCAUAUGGCAUAGACUCGGCAUGGAAAUGCUUUGUUGAAUAUUUAAAAUCAGUAACGGCUGAUAUUGGAAGGAAUGUUCGUCGGGAGCACUUACUAGUUGUUGCAGAUUGCUUGUCUGUGACUGGGCAGUUCCAUGCAUUAAGCAGUCAAGGUUUAAAGCAGCAGCGCACUUUGUUAUCGAUCUCAUCUCCAUUUUCGGAAGCAUGUUUUUCUAGGCCUGCACAAAGUUUUAUAAAUGCUGCAAAGCAAUGUUCAGUGGACAAUUUGUGUGGAAGUCUAGAUGCAAUUGCUUGGGGCAAAGAGCCUUUCAAUGGGACGUCAGGGCCUUUUGAAAUUAUGCAUGUGGGAAAGCCACAUGAACCAGAAGAAAAUGAGAGCAUCUAUGGUUUCUUAUGCGACCCUGAAGUUCGGAAUUUUGAAAAGAAUCAUAUGGAUACCUGCAGACAUAGUACUGAAAAUUCUUUGAGAUGUAGGUUAGCAUGCAAGUAUAAAGGCAAUGCAACCAUCAACGGUGGAGACAUAACCAUCGACCAAGGCUUUCUUCAGGCUAAAGUUGGUAUAUGGGAUAACAUUAUUGAUAUGCGUACUUCGCUACAGAACAUGCUAAGAGAGUACCCAUUAAAUGGAUAUGUGAUGGAGCCAGAUAAAUCACUAUUAGUCAAAGCCCUGAAGUUUCAUCCCAAAGGGGCUGAAAAGAUUGGUGUUGGAGUAAAAGAAAUUAAGUUAGAAGGGAUCCUCUCAGUUUACAAAGAGUAGGUUUCUUUUAGACAUAUGGUUCCUGUAUUGACCUCGCAGGAGAGCUAUGUAUCAUUAUAUCAAGAAGAUAAAGAGGGUAAAGAACACUUGCAACACACCCGAAGAACCAAACACAGUCACACCCAGGUUUCAAAAAUUACAUGCACACCUGUGCUAAAAGAAUAACCUACCAUGACCAGGUUGUGUAUUUAACAUGUUGUCCUUUGGCCAAGCUUGUUUAAUGUCAUUGGUUUUAGCAAACAUCACUGACGAGCUGUCCAAUUUGCUGGAAAAGGGUCACGUGCAAUUAUCAUUGUAAGCCUUAUUAUCAGCCUUGUAAGCACUGUAAGCAUCUCAAGGUUGAGCAAACAAUAAUCCUUCCACUCAUAGACCGGAUGACACUAAAGAUCGGACUGAAUCCUAGUCACCCAGGUACAAGAUGCUUCAUUUUACUGAGGAAUGAUGAUACAACUGAAGACUUUUCUUACAACAAGUGUGUUCAGGGUGCUGCAAAUUCUAUUUCACCUCAACUAGGAAGUUAUUUUGAGAAGAAACUAUACCUUAGAGGAUAAGUUGUCUCACUAGUUGGCACAUGGUAGUGCUCCUGGCAUUUGUCCUGUCCUGACCAGACCAGACCAGACCAUAUGAAGGGUGCUCAAAUUGCUCAGAAAGAAUGAAUCAGCAUAGAUCUCGUGCAUCUUCCUAUAGAAGGUCGUCGGGAUUGGGAUGAAUAUCAACUCAACUCAACUCAUUGGGACUACCGAAGGCAGGUUUGAAAGAGUCGUGACUCUGGUUUCAUGCCUCCAUUUCCGUAGUCCUAGUCUACUCGUCUGCUAGCCUGCAUGUUGUGUAUUGUGAGCAUAUUGCGUCACUAGAACAUGAUGUGGUGCAAUAUUCGUUUAUUUUGUUUCCGAGAAUUGUUGGUGGCACGGCAUACAAUAGGCGCUACCACCUCCUUGUACUACUUGCACCUCCCGGCAUUCUACUGUGGUAACCAUGAAAGCUUAUGUUGUGAUUCAGUACGAUAUUUGUGACAAACCUAA